CCUACGGGAGGCAGCAGUCGAGAAUCAUUCACAAUGGGGGAAACCCUGAUGGUGCGACGCCGCGUGGGGGAAUGAAGGUCUUCGGAUUGUAAACCCCUGUCAUGUGGGAGCAAAUUAAAAAGAUAGUACCACAAGAGGAAGAGACGGCUAACUCUGUGCCAGCAGCCGCGGUAAUACAGAGGUCUCAAGCGUUGUUCGGAAUCACUGGGCGUAAAGCGUGCGUAGGCUGUUUCGUAAGUCGUGUGUGAAAGGCGGGGGCUCAACCCGCGGACGGCACAUGAUACGGCGAGACUAGGGUAAUGGAGGGGGAACGGGAAUUCUGGGUGUGGCAGUGAAAGGGGUGGA
rnacentral:rRNA from 1 species